UAGCCCUUAAGCUUUACACGCGUUAGACGAACGGUCUGGAAAGUCCGACGAUACAGGGUGAUAGUCCCGUAGUUGACGACGUGUGUUCAGUGAAAUCGAGUAGGGCGGGACACGUGAUAUCCUGUCUGAAUAUGGGGGGACCAUCCUCCAAGGCUAAAUACUACUGACUGACCGAUAGUGAACCAGUACCGUGAGGGAAAGGCGAAAAGAACCCCUGUGAGGGGAGUGAAAUAGAACCUGAAACCGUGUACGUACAAGCAGUAGGAGCAGGCUUUGUCCUGUGACUGCGUACCUUUUGUAUAAUGGGUCAGCGACUUAUAUUCAGUGGCAAGGUUAACCAUCUAGGGGAGCCGUAGGGAAACCGAGUCUUAACUGGGCGUUCAGUCUCUGGAUAUAGACCCGAAACCAGGUGAUCUAGCCAUGGGCAGGUUGAAGGUUGAGUAACAUCAACUGGAGGACCGAACCGACUAAUGUUGAAAAAUUAGCGGAUGACUUGUGGCUAGGGGUGAAAGGCCAAUCAAACCUGGAGAUAGCUGGUUCUCCCCGAAAGCUAUUUAGGUAGCGCCUCGGACGAAUACUACUGGGGGUAGAGCACUGUUAAGGCUAGGGGGUCAUCCCGACUUACCAACCCUUUGCAAACUCCGAAUACCAGUAAGUACUAUCCGGGAGACACACGGCGGGUGCUAACGUCCGUCGUGGAGAGGGAAACAACCCAGACCGCCAGCUAAGGUCCCAAAUUACUACUAAGUGGGAAACGAUGUGGGAAGGCUCAGACAGCCAGGAUGUUGGCUUAGAAGCAGCCAUCAUUUAAAGAAAGCGUAAUAGCUCACUGGUCGAGUCGGCCUGCGCGGAAGAUGUAACGGGGCUAAGUAGUAAACCGAAGCUGCGGCAAUGUGCUUUUGCACAUUGGGUAGGGGAGCGUUCUGUAAGCGGUUGAAGGUGUGUGGUAACGCAUGCUGGACGUAUCAGAAGUGCGAAUGCUGACAUGAGUAACGAUAAAGGGGGUGAAAAACCUCCUCGCCGGAAGACCAAGGGUUCCUGUCCAACGUUAAUCGGGGCAGGGUAAGUCGACCCCUAAGGCGAGGCCGAAAGGCGUAGUCGAUGGGAAACGGGUUAAUAUUCCCGUACUUCUUACAAUUGCGAUGGGGGGACGGAGAAGGCUAGGUGGGCCUGGCGACGGUUGUCCAGGUUCAAGUGCGUAGGCUUAAGAGUUAGGUAAAUCCGGCUCUUUUUAAGGCUGAGACACGACGUCGAGCCACUACGGUGGUGAAGUCAUUGAUGCCAUGCUUCCAGGAAAAGCCUCUAAGCUUCAGAUUGUAAGGAAUCGUACCCCAAACCGACACAGGUGGUCGGGUAGAGAAUACCAAGGCGCUUGAGAGAACUCGGGUGAAGGAACUAGGCAAAAUGGUACCGUAACUUCGGGAGAAGGUACGCUCUUGAUGGUGAAGUCCCU
rnacentral:rRNA from 1 species